CGCGCAGGCGGUCUUGUCCGUCAGGUGUGAAAGCUCGGGGCUCAACCCCGGAAGUGCACUUGAAACAGCAAGACUCGAAUACGGGAGAGGAGAGAGGAAUUCCUGGUGUAGAGGUGAAAUUCGUAGAUAUCAGGAGGAACACCGAUGGCGAAGGCAUCUCUCUGGACCGAUAUUGACGCUGAGGCGCGAAGGCGUGGGUAGCGAACG
rnacentral:rRNA from 1 species